UGCAUAAGCUUAAAGUUGAUGUAGACACUUGCAUUGCACCCAUGACAGCCAAGGGAGAGGAUAUAAAAGCAAACCCAAGCCUCCCUUCGAAUCCAUCCACUCCUGCCUCUCCACUUCAGAACAGACCAGCCCUAGGAAGGGUUGGUGAGAUCCAAACUUCUAGUUUGCUUUUCAUGGCUGCCAUCUACUUUCUCCCCUUCUCCUCCACUUGUUUUUAGAGUUCUAGGCCACAAAUCUCUCCCUUACCUCCUAUCUGUGAUGUUCUUCCUCUGCUAAGCACUGAUUAGCUGAACUGCAAAUCCCAGUGUCGAUCAAGCACACAGCAAGAUGAGCAGCAAUACAGCUGUUUUAGCCGGGAGUAAUUUUGACAUUACUCAAGAGGUAUAAUUCCAGUGUGCUGCAACAGUAUGAUGGUACAAUCCAAAUCAAAUUAAUGUAAAUGUAAGUUUUGCAAUAUAUCUUUUUAUAGACAACCAAAUGUAGACAAACUGUUGGAGAUGCUUAGGAGUUAGCAUCCACCAUUCAUACGAGCAAUAUGGCAUCUGUUGAAGCAAAGGUUCGUUUUGGUGCUGGCACAUGUCUUAAGUACUUUUGUGGAUAGUUGGAGUCUUGGAUUUGAGUUA